CGGAGGGUGCGAGCGUUGUCCGGAAUCACUGGGCGUAAAGGGCGCGUAGGUGGCUUCUCAAGCGCGCGGUGAAAGCCCGGGGCUCAACCCCGGGUCGGCCGUGCGGACUGGGAGGCUCGAGCACUGUAGGGGCGGGUGGAAUUCCGGGUGUAGCGGUGGAAUGCGUAGAGAUCCGGAAGAACACCGGUGGCGAAGGCGGCCCGCUGGGCAGGAAGGCUCGCAAGAGCCGGCUGACACUGAGGCGCGACAGCGUGGGGAGCAAACAGGAUUAGAUACCCUGGUAGUCCACGCCGUAAACGAUGGGCACUAGGUGCCUGGGGGAGCGACCCCCCGGGUGCCGGCGCUAACGCAUUAAGCGCCCCGCCUGGGGAGUACGGCCGCAAGGCUG
rnacentral:rRNA from 1 species